CUCUCCAGAGUGGAACUAUGUUGAGCCUCAAAUCAAGGAAGACCUCUGCAUAAAAAAAGAUGAUGGAGAAUUCUGGUAUUUCCCUAUCAAUUCUUCUGUCUACCAGGUUUUCUAUUUGCAUUCAUUAUGAAAGAAAGAUCAUUUAGGCAUUUUUGUCUCUGCUUUUAUUGAUGGCUCAAAGUGCCUCCGUGUUAAUUGCGUGCAAACAGCAAAUUGGAGGUUGUCCGGAUCCAAUGGUCUCAGAAGAAAUGAGAAUUGGAGAAAUGAAACUGGCCAAUAUGAUGCAACAAACUGGUGAAAAAAGUGAAAUAAAUGAAGUGAAAAUACAGCUCACUGAGACCUAGUCCCUUUGUCACAUUUUCCUUCCCCCUAAAGAGACCAGCUUGAACUUCAGCUGCUCAGAGGAAUAGGUGGCUGGAGCUUAUGCACUUGACUGCUCUGCAGGUGCCUGUGGCUUUUCACAGCCUCUGAAUACUCUGAAGUCCCGCUUAACCAUGGGUUAGACAUCCUUUAGAAGGCCUAUUAUUCUUCAGAAAGUCCACACUUACCAUGUGAGGCUCUGGGGAAUGCAGGGGAACAGCAGGCUGGGCUGAGAUGGACUCGUCAGGCUUUAGUAAAGGCAGGACAGGAUGUCACAGAGGGACAGAGCAAGGCACCAUAGCAGAGUUGUACUCGAGACAGUAGGACUCCACGUAGGCACUGCUAAACAUAUCAUAUAAUUUCAGUGGGGGUUUAGGUGUAAUUAGGGCUGUCCAAAAGCACCAAGAGCUGACCUCUUCUGCACGGUGUCAGCCCACUCGGCUACGCUGUGCAGCACUGCUCUAACCCUACUUGGAGACAUAGGGGGUGAAAAUGAAUACCUCACUGGUGUCUCAGACUGAAAAACGAGGCUUUCUCUGUCUUUGCAGGAUGUCCUGUGAAGACUUUUGUGAGCAGUUUUCCUGGCUGUGUAUAUGUAACAGCACCCCAACGUUUCUGGACUUUGGAGAUCAGCGUGGCAUGACAUGGUCCGUGGACAGGCACAUCGACCUGUGGAGUAAUUCACUCUCCACAGGCAGGAACAACUCUUCCCUCGCAGGUGCAGUUUCGAAGAACCCUAAGUAUUUCUUCGAAGUGACAAGUAAUGCUCCCCAAAGCUAUAAUGUGGUCAUUUCACUCAUCCAAAAACAUGCUGAGGGUAUGCAGGAUGCACAGACAUCGAGGAUUGGCUUUUCAAUCACAAAGGUAAGCACAAUCAGGUAUAAUACAGAUGCUGUUUUCUGUGUGGGUUAUUGUAUCUGUACAUGUAAACAAAAGACUGAAUUGCCUUUUGGGCUGUUAAAGGAGAGCAGUCAGUAUUGGAGUGAAUUUCUGGAUGUUUUCUUUAUUAGGAAGACAUAGGAAAAGUAGGGCUAAGCAGGCUUAGUUUCCUUUAUUCAUAUCUUGAGAAGAAAAUCUGAAUUUUCAGUUUUGUUGCAUCCUAAAAUACCCCUGGGAAACUCAGAGGAUCCACAGGUUACACAAGAUGCUAGGGCAGUGACCUCUGUGUCCAGCCUUGCUGGUCCAGCAAAAUGCCUGGCAGCCAGCACAAACCCCAGUGCUCCAAGUCAAGCAAAAAAGAGAACGGGCUCUUGUUCCCCCUGAAUGGGCAUCACAGAAAUGCAGUGCAAAAAACAUUUGCAAAACACUUGGGAAAGCUUUGUGCAAGACCGAUACAGAGCCAAUCUAGUCAGAUAAAUGGGACCUCCAACUAAAAUUUCCCCCCUUUUUUUUCUUGGUGACUGCCUGGGCAUGUGCCAGUUCAAGGACAAUUACUGUCAGAGUAUUACCAAGCUUACUGAAAGUGCAGUUGCUGGUAGAGAUGGCUGCUAGCAGUUUUCCAAAGUGUUUUUGUUCUUGUCGUAGGGAGAUUGGAAGGAAUUAUUCUUAACCCGAAGAAUAAAAGGAAGCAAAGAUUUCUUUGAUCCUAACUUCACAUUCGCCCUAACUUCACAAUUCUCCUGAUCACUGGAGAGUUUUGCCUUAGUCUCAGACUUUGAAUAAUUGAUGCCGUAAGUUUAACAGUUCCUCAGAGGAAGGAAGAGAAUGGCUUUGUAGCUCAUAAAAACAGUAUCUUAUAUCUGAUGAGAAAUACAAAAUGUAAUAAAAUGACCAUUCCUUCAGGGAGUGGAACUCAUUAUCCUUACUCAAGAAGAUCCUCUGGUGCAGAUAUCAGCCCUGCAGGAUGCUGUGGUGCUCAAAAAGAGCAGCUGCUCCUAGUACAGGGGGAACUUGCUCCUUCCAGCAUCCUCACCAGCUGCCCAAGCAGUCACCAGACAUGGAGGCCCCUGACUGCUCUAGUAUGGUGCAUGCCAUCUUGAUUAGUCACCCAUUUUGACAGAAAGGAUUCUCACUGAGUAGUCACGGCAUAGUUCUGGGGUCCCUUGGAAAGGGGGUUCUGUUUAAUCAGGAAGUAGACCAGGAGACAGAUUUGGUUCUUGCUUUGUGUUAAAACUUGCUUUUUAUUUAUUUAUUUAUUUAUUUCCCACCUCUAAUUGAUGCUCAAGUAUGUUCAUUUCAUUUUUUUUUUCUUGGCACAUUCCCAAGAUCAGAUGAAAUUUGAUGGGUGUGUCGAGGCUGGGUGAUAUGACCUCUAUGGGGUGUCAGCCCAUGGCUCACCUUGUGCACAGGCUGGGCUUCUGGUCCAAGGUCAUCUCCCAUGCAGGAGCUGGAAGGCGAGGCCAGGCCAGGUGAUUACCAGGGACACCGGCAUUGCUUUGGAGCAGCUGGUCAGUGAAAGUUUAUGAGGGGGUUGUUUGAAGAAGGGGAGUGCAAUUGCAAAGAUUCAUGAGGCCUCACUUUUCCUGCUUCAACUGCUUUCAUAGCUGGCACUCAUCAGCAUCAUCGUUCAUUGCUCACUAUUUAUUUGAGACUCAUCAUAUUGUUGCUGUAAAGUAAAAAGUGCAUCAUCCAUUGGCAGGAUGAGGGGAAUGCAGUACAGGCAAGGAUGUGAACCCGAAUGGACAUAUCUGAUAGCUCUAGGAAUCCUUUGAUUAAGUAUAGACAUGGAGCACUAAUACAUAGCUGUGAGGUAGGCUUAAUGUUGCGUGACAGAGCUGAGCAACCUAUAGAGGCUGAUUCUUAUCUCACACCAGUUUUGACUCCUUUGAGAUAUUAACCUGCUUCUGCUUUUUUACCAGAAGAAACGUCAAAUGAGGCCCAAAAGUAAAAAAGAUUAUGUCAUUUAUUUCUUUGCAGCACUGACCAUUUCCAUCUACUCAAAAUCUGGCCCAUAAGGCUUGGCAGUCUACAUGCCUCCUAGUCCUCUGUAACAGUCAUCUUUUUUUUUUUUCUUUUUUUUUUUCUUUUCUCCCAGAAUAGCAGUUUUAUGUUAUUUUCUCCCAAAGGCAUGGCUCAUAAAUAACUCUGCCAUGCUUUAUAACCAUUCUAAAUAGAAUUUAUACACGCUGAUGUAUUUUGGGGAAUAUGUUUAGUAAGUGUUUUUUUAUUACGCUAUCUUUACAUGUCCUAAUAGUAAUAGCUGUUGCAUUAUAUUAGUUUCAUCUCAGCAAAAAUACUGGAAUGACAGAAGAAAGAUCAGAAUGUUCUGUUUUCUCGUGACACUUGCUGGAAGGUUUGAGUUGUGAUUCUUGAAGCACUGUAAUCUGGGUGAGAUGCUUACUGAGCUCUCUGAUGACUCUGGGAUAUGUUAGGGAAGCAUAUCAGGGAAUCAUACCAGCUAUCUCAGGGAAGUUUUAGUAAGAGUAAUUAUCCUUGUUUCCUUGACGAAUUCUAGUCUGCUUGAUGUUAAUAGAAUUUCUUAUGAAAUCCACUUAAACAUAUUGCUCCUUCCUUUCCUU
rnacentral:lncRNA from 1 species